AUUGAACGCUGGCGGCAUGCCUUACACAUGCAAGUCGAACGGCAGCGGACCUUUGGGUGCCGGCGAGUGGCGAACGGGUGAGUAAUAUUUCGGAACGUACCUUUCAGUGGGGGAUAACGUAGCGAAAGUUACGCUAAUACCGCAUAUUCUGUGAGCAGGAAAGCAGGGGAUCGCAAGACCUUGCGCUGAUUGAGCGGCCGAUAUCAGAUUAGCUAGUUGGUGAGGUAAAGGCUCACCAAGGCGACGAUCUGUAGCGGGUCUGAGAGGAUGAUCCGCCACACUGGAACUGAGACACGGUCCAGACUCCGUACGGGAGCAGCAGGUAGGGGUAA
rnacentral:rRNA from 1 species